rnacentral:ncRNA from 1 species
CUCUGUGAAGAGGCAGGGAUAACGUAAAAACAAGAAGACCCUACAGAGCUUUAAUUUAUUAACCCACUUAGUAAUACUAUUACCCCAUUGGGAAAAACAAAUGGACCCCUGAGUUAAGAAUUUCAGUUGGGAUGACCUGGAAUGACAAUGACCUGGACACUUACAGUAAGGGUACAAGUGAACAAGUCAUUAAUUGGCCCAAUUAUAUUUGAUCAACAGACCAAAUCUAGGGAUAUCAGUGCAAUCUUAGAGUCCAUAUCAGCAAUAAGGUUUAUGACCUGGACGUUGGAUCAGAGCAUCUUCAUGCUAUAACCAACAUUAAGGGCUCAUUUGCUCAAGGAUUAAAGUCCUCCAUGAACUAGAUUCAGACCAGAGUAACCCAGGUAGGUUUCUAUCUAUUAUUUG